UUGAGUUGGGAUUUGAACUUCUGUCUUCUGCCUUGGAUACUCAGAAGUGACAGUCUCGUAGUAACCCCUUGAAAACACCCAUUUCCUUAUGUAUAAAAUGUGCAUGUGCCCCUUGUUUCUAGGGGGUCCUUGGGAGGAUUCAGUAGAAUGCCAUGUGCAGAGUCCUGGUACGUUGUAUCAUGAAAUGUCUGAUUAUUGGUUAUGAUCACCCGCCUCUUGCACAGGAAGAUCAGCAGAGGGCAGCUUGCCCUGUGUCGUGGUUUGGAGCGCUCCAAAUGUCCUGCUCUCCUACCUUUAUCCAGUCUCUGAGGAAAGAAAUCCUAACAUCGAGUGGGUAUAUGCUGGAGGAGGCUAGAAAUGCCUGAGCUGUCUCUGUUUUCAAGACAUGUGAUUCUGAGCUCCUACGGUCUCCUAGGACCAGCUGUAGUAUUGAUUAGAAGAGCUCCUGUCUGCAGUAAUAACCCCCCCUUACUGAGUGCCUGCCAGUGUGCGUGCCAUCCUUUCACACUCGUCACGUGGGUCCCACAAACAGCCCUGGGAGGUGGAGGUACCUGUUAGCCUGCGUUUGAGGGAUGGGAAACUGGAGCCCAGAGAGGCGAAGGGACUUGCCCGAAGUUACAAAGAUGAGGACCUAGAACAGAGCCAGCCCCGUCGGAGCCUGGGGAUCAAGAGUUGUGCACAGGUUGGCUGCGUGUGUUCCCAGAAGAACUCACCUCAGAGAUGCCGUGGAGCAGAGGCUGUCGCGAGUACCAUCUGACAGAUGAGGAGACAUAGUCGGAGAGGCACAAUCACUUGUAAAUGGUCACACGGAGAUGGCAUUGCGGGUCUGUGACUGUGAAAUCCUGGAGUGUCCCCUCUGAGCUGUCCGACCUUGAAAGUGUUCCUGAGCCUCUGUGAGCUUCAGAUUCCUCAUCUGAACAGUACUAGACGCUACCUUGGGAUUGCCUCGGGGAUCAAAUGAGAGAGAGUUGACGUUGAACAAUUAGCCUAGCGCCUGGUGUGUCAUAAAGCACUCAAUAAAUGUUAACUAUUAUUGAUCUUCA